GAUGAAGAACGUAGCGAAAUGCGAUAAGUAGUGUGAAUUGCAGAAUUCAGUGAAUCAUCGAAUCUUUGAACGCACAUUGCGCCCGCCAGUAUUCUGGCGGGCAUGCCUGUUCGAGCGUCAUUACAACCCUCAGGCCCCCGGGCCUGGCGUUGGGGAUCGGCGGAGCCCCCCGUGGGCACACGCCGUCCCCCAAAUGCAGUGGCGGUCCCGCCGCAGCUUCCAUCGCGUAGUAGCUAACACCUCGCGACUGGAGAGCAGCGCGGCCACGCCGUAAAACACCCAACUCUUCUGAAGUUGACCUCGAAUCAGGUAGGAAUACCCGCUGAACUUAAGCAUAUCAAUAAGCGGAGGA
rnacentral:misc_RNA from 1 species